UCAGCCCUGUGUUCCCUCAGCCCUAUGUUCCCUCAGCCCUAUGUUCCCUCAGCCCUAAUCCUAACCCCUAAACCAAGAUGAUCAAUAUUACUGCAGCAAUGAAUACAAGGCCACAUAUCCAAAACAUAAUAUAUGACUGGGGGUGGGGAGUUAUGUGGGCUGAGGGAACACAGCGACCUCCCC